rnacentral:lncRNA from 1 species
GAGUGCUGGGAAGGUGGCCCAGGUCAUGCCACUGGACUCCCCUCUGUCCCCAGGCAGCCAGUGGCCUUGUGUGACUCCUGUCCAUCAACAGCUGCGCUGGGCAUGUGAGGUACAUCUACCCCCAACUGCUCCUGGCCCUGCUCAUUCAGGUCCAUUGCCACAUCGGCCUCAAGUUGCCUGGCCAUGGGGUUCCUCACAAGGACACCAAGAACCAAGGACAGCCUCCCGCCUUCGUACCUGUGCAGCUGAAGGAUCUAUACUGGAGCCAGGAAGUGAUGCUCAAGGUGAAGAUCAGAGCUCCCCUGAUGAGAACAGCAGCCAUUCCCAGUGACAGUGAGGCCCUGAGCUCCUCCUCCAAUGAGAACAGCCAAGUUCACAUCAAGAAAACCAUCCGCAGCAAGCUUCUCCAGGAAAAUCAACAGCCCACGAUCUUCCCCUCCAGUUCUCUCUUUAUGCAAUGGCAACAAUCCUCUGGUGGGUCUUCCAUGUCCAGACCAUGCUGACUCAUUUCAGCUGGGCGUCCUAGUUGACCAUUAAUUAAUCUACCACAACCAUUGAGUGGUGAGGGUAAAACAAAAAGUAACUCCUCCGCACCCAAUUUGUACACCAAUAGUGUACACCCACACCCUCACCAUCACAGUGUAUUAUAAAAUAUUUAUAUCUUUGCCAAUCUGAAGAGUUGCAAAGAAAAAAAGGAAUUUUUCCAUAGUUCUGGUCUGCAGUGUUCUUAUUUAAAUGAGGUUAAGUUUUAAAUGUCAUUUCUGUAACUCACUUUGGUGAAUAAGCUGUUCUUGUCCCCUGCCCAGUUUUACAUAGGACUUUUUUCCCCCCUGGCACCAGGGAUUGAACUCAGAACCUUGUGCUUGCCAGGCAAGCGGGGUACCACUGAGCUACAUCUCUGGCUUACAUAGGACUUUUGGGGAUUUUUCUUAUUAAUUUGUAAAAGCUCUUUAUAUGUUAAUGGAAUUAACUCUUUCUAAUUGAUAUUCCAGUUUGUCACUUUACCUGCCAUUAUUUUAUGGUCUCUUGCCAUUAAGAAAUUUUAAGUUUUUUUUUUUUUUUGGUACCGGGGAUCAAAC